rnacentral:tRNA from 1 species
CACAGGUUCAAAUCCUGUCAUCCCUA